GACGAACGCUGGCGGCGUGCCUAAUACAUGCAAGUUGAGCGCUGAAGGUUGGUACUUGUACCGACUGGAUGAGCAGCGCACGGGUGAGUAACGCGUGGGGAAUCUGCCUUUGAUCGGGGGACAACAUUUGGAAACGAAUGCUAAUACCGCAUAAAAACUUUAAACACAAGUUUUAAGUUUGAAAGAUGCAAUUGCAUCACUCAAAGAUGAUCCCGCGUUGUAUUAGCUAGUUGGUGAGGUACAGGCUCACCAAGGCGAUGGUACAUAGCCGACCUGAGAGGGUGAUCGGCCACAUUGGGACUGAGACACGGCCCAAACUCCUACGGGAGGCAGCAGUAGGGAAUCCUCGGCGAUGGACGAAAGUCUGACCGAGCAACGCCGGGUGAGUGAAGAAGGUUCUCGGGUCGUAAAACGCUGUUGGUAGAGAAGAACGUUGGUGAGAGUGGAAAGCUCAUCAAGUGACGGUAACUACCCAGAAAGGGACGGCUAACUACGUG
rnacentral:rRNA from 1 species